GCCUCUCUCGGCCAUCCUCUCCCUCUUUAAAUUCUAUUGUAUUUUUAUUUUUAACCUAUAAUAAUAAUAAAGCCCUGCCCCGUUUUAAGUGUUUUAACCCCGUUUUACGAAUUAGAUACGCUGCCCGAUUGAUCUAGUGCUCCGUAACGGCUGUCGUGGGCUUGCACGACGUAGUCGCUGGAGUUCUGUCUCGGGGAGGGUAUAACUAAUGUAAAUUGGGUUAUCAUACUAACGCGUGUGCAUUGUUUAAUUAAUAGAUGAUAACCAGGAAAUCUCAAAGGAAAUACUUAAAGUAGCAAUGUGAGUAAUCUCCUUUUUGUUAACUAUUUUUACAAAACCUCACUUAAUUAAACUACAUUAAACAGUGAUUGAGUAUUUGUAUUCUACAAUUAUCGUCGGUAUGUUGGGGUUAUGUAUACAAAAUUUGUUACUACCUUGCGAGGAGUAACAUGACCACAAGUCGGGUUGACAGUACCGUGGGUGGUAAUUAAGUAGAUGGAAACAAAUGUAAUUGCGCGACCGCCCUCAAUAUUGUACAACGUAUUUUCCCACUGACAAAAUGUGAAAGCCAAUUAAAAGCCAGCUGGAGAGCACCGAAGGUUUAGAAAAGUGGCUAUAAAAGUUACCUAAAUUAAAAAGGAGACUUUGUUUUCAAUAAUUGGGGUUUAUCCCUAUACAUUGUAUUGUAAAUAAA
rnacentral:lncRNA from 1 species